GACUUUACGCCGUUCAAACAGCAACGAUCAGUCGGUCGGUCGGUCGAGCGGGAUAGUGCGAACUGCGAAGUCGUGGAGACGUCGUGGCGAGUUUCAACUCGCAUCCUCGUCGUCCCGUACAGAAAGUGAAGUGAAGUGUUGGGCGUUCGUGCCAACUGCGUGUCGUGUGUGGCCGUCGUGUUGCUUCAACCGUCGAUCGUGUCGCGUUCACUCGUGUUUCGCAUCUUCUCCGUUGCCUCGUAUCCCGAGUUUUCGACGCGCAUAAGUACUGGAUAUGCCGAAAACGAAGUGUCGCGCGUUCGUGCCAAGUGUGAAUCGAGAGGAAGAGGAUCGACGUGAGAAGGAUCUUGGAUUUGGAACGUUCGAGAGCUGCGGCUGAGACGGAGCUGGACGGAGCGACCAGCGGCGAACGCGGACCGGUGCAAGGGCAAUUGAUGAUGAAUGCAACGGAAUGGAAUGGCAUCGGGUGAUCGUCCGCUCUCGCGAAGGAAUGGAUGAAGGGACGGUGGACUCGUCGUCUUCGUGUCCGAGGACCGAAUCUCGUGGUUAGUUUCGUGGAUUUCCCGAUCAGGGUCGAGAUGAGAAAUACUGAGAGAAAGAGAGAGAGAGAGAGAGAGGCGCCGUACUUGAUCGAGGAAGAGCAGCUCCGCGUGAUUCUGGAUCUGGUAGCCCAUGUCGAGCAGCUCCUGUACGUCGCGAGUGAACGCUGCGUCGGCCUUCGACGGUAGGGCCAGGAUGUCGUUGCCGAGGGUCGAGCUGAACGCGGUCAGAGCAUCCUCCCAGCAGUAAAGGGCCUUUUCCAGCGCCUCGAGUCCUGUCAACAAGAACGGCGUCAGUUUAUCUCGGCGGAGAGGGAGGAUUGGGCGCGGUUAUAUCAGAACAAAAAUAAGCCGAAAACGUAGCACUCUCUUUCCAGACGUAAUAAAGUAAUCUGAGAACUUUAGGGGAGAGAAAGUUGACAAAGGCGAAGCGUAAGAAUCCACUCGUCAAUCUAAUCGUGAUAAACGCAAUUACAUAUUAUUUCAUGGAUUUCGAGUCCAGUUUCCAGCCAGCCGGAAGGAUAUACACCUUUCCCCUCGUAUCGCGCGUAGGUAAUUACGCUUUUUUUUUCUAGAAAAUCAACGAGUCUGAAAUUAAUAUCGACCUGUACGCGCGGGCGACUAACGGUA